rnacentral:lncRNA from 1 species
GAGCCAGCUGUUUCUUAGUUUCCCGAAGAGCUGGGAGCAAGAUUCUUUGGGGACCCUCUCCCCUUUUGGAAACAAGGCCACCCUUGGGGCCUUGCAGCUCUAGGCCUAUGCAGCACACAGAGAGCAGAAUUUCUACUUCAGCCAAAUCAGGCUUGCUAGGAAACUGCGUAUCACAGGACUUGGUAAGAGAUGUUCAUGGUAGGCAGUAAGAGCACUGGGCAGAGCCUGCUGUUUCUUAGCUUCCCAGAGAGCUGGAAGCAAGAUGCUUUGGGGCCUCUCUCCCCCUUUCAAAACAAGGCAGCACUUUGGUCCUGGCAAAUCUAGGCCAAUGGAGCACACCCAGAGCAGAAGUUCUACUUCGGCCACAUCAGGCCUGCCAAGAAACUGCAUUUCACAGGCCUUGGUAAGAGAUCUUCCCUAAAGGCUGUAAGAGCACUUGGAGAGCGCGUUGUUUCUUAGCUUCCCAAAGAGAUGGAAUCAAGAUGCUUUGGGGCCACUCUGCCCCUUUGGAAACAAGGCAGCACGUUGGGUCUGGCAGCUCUAGGGCAAUGGAGCACAACCAGAGCAGAAGUUCUACUUCUUCCAGAUCAGGCCUGCCUAGAAAGUGCGUUUCACAGGCCUUGAUAAGAGAUGUUCUCUUAGGCUAUAAGAGCACUGGGCACAGCCAGUUGUUUCUUAGCUUCCCAAGAGGUGGAAGCAAGAUGCUUUGGGGCCUCUCUCCCCCUUUGGAAACAAGGCAGCCCUUUGGGCCUUUCAGCUCUAGGGCAAUGGAGCACACCCAGAGCAGAAGUUCUACCUCAGCCAGAUCAGGCCUGCCAAGAAACUGCUUUUCACAGGCCUUCGUAAGAGGUGUUCCCGGAAGGCUGUAAGAGUACCUGGCAGAGCGAGUUGUUUCUUAGCUUCAAAAACAGCUGGAAGCAACAUGAUUUGGGGCCUCUCUCCCCCUUUGGAAACAAAGCAGCCUUUGUGCCUGGCAGCUCUAGGCCAAAGUAGCACACCCAGAGCACAAGUUCUACCUCAGCCAGAUAAGGCCUGUCAAGAAGCUGCGUUUCACAGGCCUUUGUAUGUGACGUUCCCGGUUGGCUUUGAGAGCACUGUGCAGAGCCAGUUGUUUUAGCUUCCCAGAGAGCAGGAAGCAAGAUGCUUUGGGGCCUCUCUCACACUUUGGAAAUAAAGGCAGCCCUUUGGGCCUGGCAGCCCUAGGCCAAUGGAGUACACCCAGAGCAGAAGUUCUACCUCAGCCAGAUCAGGCCUUCCAAGAAACUGCGUCUCACAGGCCUUUCUCUGUCACGUUGCCGGUAGGCUGUGAGAGCACUGUGCAGAGCCAGUUGUUUCUUAGCUUCCCAAAGAUUUGGAAGCAAGAUACUUUGGGGACUCUCAGCCCCUUUGGAAACAAGGCGGCCCUUUGGGCCUGGCAGCUCUAGGCCAAAGUAGCACGCCCAGAGCAGGAGUUCUACUUCAGCCAGAUCAGGCCUGCCAAGAAACUGCGUUUCACAGGCCUUGGUAAGAGAUGUUCC